AUUGUGUUCCAUUUGUAGUUGUCCCUAUUAAAUGUGCAUCUGAUGCUUUGGCCAUUCUUCGGGAAAGACAAGGAGGAUUUGAUAUCAUUCUAAUGGAUCUUGACAUGCCUGAGAUGCAUGGAAUUGCCCUCCUUGAGAGAGUUGAGGUUGAAUUUAAGAUACCUGUUGUUAUGAUGUCUGCCAAUGAUAAAGAAGUUGUUGCGUUAAGAUGUUUGGAAAGUGGCGCUUCAUUUUAUCUUACAAAACCUUUAACUACAAGUGAUCUAAGUAACCUUUGGCAGUAUGUAUACCUGAA